AUGGUGUGGUCCGUCCGCGUUCCCCUGAAGAUCCGCAUAUUCAUGUGGCAGCGGAUUCGCGGCCGGGUCCCGUCUGGAGUGGAGGUCUGCAAGCGCAAUGGCCCGGGCACCGGUAUCUGCCCGCUCUGUGGAGUCCCUGAAGACUCGAACCACAUCUUCUUCUCCUGCGUCUCAGCCCAGUUCCUCUGGAGCUGCUUUCGCGAGGUGGUCGGU
rnacentral:rRNA from 1 species